rnacentral:rRNA from 1 species
GACAGAGGUGCCGAGCGUUAGGCGGAAUCACUGGGCUUAAAGCGUGUGUAGGCGGACCGUUAAGUGCCUUGUGAAAUCCCACGGCUCAACCGUGGAACGUCUGGGCAUACUGGCGGUUCUUGAGCUGUUCAGGGGCGACUGGAACGAACGGUGGAGCGGUGAAAUGCGUAGAUAUCGUUCGGAACGCCAACGGUGAAAACAGGUCGCUGGGAACAUGCUGACGCUGAGACACGAAAGCCAGGGGA